CCUACGGGAGGCAGCAGUGGGGAAUUUUGGACAAUGGGCGCAAGCCUGAUCCAGCAAUGCCGCGUGAGUGAAGAAGGCCUUCGGGUUGUAAAGCUCUUUUGUCAGGGAAGAAACGGUGGGAGCUAAUAUCUCCUACUAAUGACGGUACCUGAAGAAUAAGCACCGGCUAACUACGUGCCAGCAGCCGCGGUAAUACGUAGGGUGCAAGCGUUAAUCGGAAUUACUGGGCGUAAAGCGUGCGCAGGCGGUUUUGUAAGUCUGUCGUGAAAGCCCCGGGCUCAACCUGGGAAUUGCGAUGGAGACUGCAAGGCUUGAAUCUGGCAGAGGGGGGUAGAAUUCCACGUGUAGCAGUGAAAUGCGUAGAGAUGUGGAGGAACACCGAUGGCGAAGGCAGCCCCCUGGGUCAAGAUUGACGCUCAUGCACGAAAGCGUGGGGAGCAAACAGGAUUAGAUACCCUGGUAGUCCACGCCCUAAACGAUGUCUACUCGUUGUCGGGUUUUAAUUAACUUGGUAACGCAGCUAACGCGUGAAGUAGACCGCCUGGGGAGUACGGUCGCAAGAUUAAAAACUCAAGGAAUUGACGGCUGAGAGNGCGAGACGACGACGAGGAGGAGG
rnacentral:rRNA from 1 species